CAUAGUACUAGAGCCGUUUUACGCAAUCGAAUACCGCCGGAAGUAGAACAUUUAUGUCAACACCGGUUUCGUAUUUCACGUGAAAACAGCUGAAAACUGAGAGGUUAUCAACAAAUUAUUAAGUUACGGGUACCAUGAGGAUUUUUCAUGCAUUUAAACGACAGAAGUACAAGCCAACAAAUGACGCAAUACAGUGGCUGCAGAAGCUU
rnacentral:lncRNA from 1 species